GCCAGGUGGGCCGAGGCAUACCUAAAUUUUCAGCCCAAAGCCCAGGAAAAAAAACUCCAUACCCAACUCUCCGGCUACGUCGGCCGCCGCCCGCUUCCUGGCGGCUCUCCGCGGGAUUGGCGAGAGGCGAGCGCAUCCAGCGCCGCCUCCGUCCUCGGCGUCCGGCCCUCCACGGCUCCGCCCGUCUGCCCGAGUGCCCGAUGCCGGAACACCCUGCAGCAGCCGCAUCUGGCAAGUCUCGACGAGUCGACGUCGAUGUUGCUUGGCGUGGCUGUGUGGCGCCGACAGGUUGGCGGACGGCGGCGCUCCCUUCUCCCCGUCGCCACAAGCACGACCUCUUCGGCUCUUCCCUCCACGGCUCCACCCCUCCAAGCUCGAGCUCCGCAUCCAGGAUUCCAGGUACCCCACUGCUGGUGGGAUCAGCAUGACCUCAGCACAGGCGCGUCACUAUGGAUGGGUACAUCACGACCACAGAGGCAGCCAAUUCUAGGACUCGAAGCGACCAGCAGAAGUAGGUUUCAGCCAAACCUAAUGUUGUGCCCCACGAACCAUUUAGGCAUUAUGCUUCUCAGCAGCAUAAUUUUGAAGUAUGCAUAUUAUCGGCGCCAUAUUGCCAAAUUUGUGCCGGUUUGGAAAAAGCAAGGAUGCAGUUCUCUACAGUAAUGGCGGUGUUUGUGUGCAUUUGAGGCCACAAAAUUAUCUAUUUCUAAUUAUUAAUUCUAUAUAUAAUUUUCUUUGUCAUUAUACCCUUUUUGUGAAGUCAAGAAAAAAGAUGCAAAUAACCAAAAAAAGAUUAACUGGUGGGUCUUAUAUUUCUACUAUGGAUAAUUAUGAGUCUCCAACCUGGAAAUAAUAUAUGAUUCCUCAUUUUGUAGUCUUCAAUACAAUUUAUUUUGAACAUCAUAAUAGUGCCUUAUUGUUAUA